rnacentral:lncRNA from 1 species
CAUCACCUCCUGUGCUCCUGGGCUGGAGUGUGGAGUGUGGUGUUGGUCCUGUGCCCAGAGAGAUUCACAGGCCAUGUUUCUUCAUGCAAAUUUGUUCCUGCUGUGUAAUCGUGCAUCUACACCUUCUUGAACAUAAGCUCAGAACAAUGUCUCCACGAGAUGUAAAGAAUGAAAUAUGAGACAUGAAUGGGUGUGUCAGAGCCAAGAUCUAAUGUGGCUCCUGGAGGCCCCAGGUGCAGGAAGUAAAACUUCAAUGUGGACACUUGUUGCCAAAGUGUGAAAGACGCAUUAGAGUAUUUUCCUUGAUGGCCCAGGGAAGAACCCUGUCCUCUCAGGAGCAGUCCAACAGCGUCCCCUGCUGGGCUCAGAGCCCAUGUCCUAUGACACCACCCAGCUGUCCUGGAAGGCGUUGCUGACUUUUUCAGAUGGGUUUUUUAUGAUGUCACUGCCCAGGGCAGUAGGUUGAGUAAGUCUUCUCUGUGACGUUUGGGGCUGAGACAUUGAUUUGUCCAUGUCACUCAUGUCUCCUUUGGUUCUCCUCAAUGAGGGGGAGAACUCCUGGAAAUCAGGAGUCCCACAAAGUUCUGAAAUCAGGAGAAGGUGACCUUCGAUCUGGGCCCAUCAGGAGCUUCACAGGAGGAGUCACACAAGCACACACUGGGGAGUCCCUGCGCCUGAUGUUCACAGCCCCGCCCCACGCCCUGUGUUGUUGGAAAGCUCCAGUGAGGUAUGAGAGGAGAGGUGGAUACAAGUCAUAGCUGUGGGCUCAGGGAAACCCAGUCAUGGAAGGCUCCUUGGGUCCUGAGUGGUGUCAGCUGUAAGGUCUUAUCCAUGGACCUACUUCACCCAACUCCUCUGGAGCAGGCUCGGCAUUUCCCAGCAUUCUUUGAGCAUCCCCCACCCUCUCAUGACCCAUAAAGAGGUUCCCUGGACACAAGUCCCAAACUGCCCCUUUGACUAAUGCCCCUCUCCCUGACUUUACAACUGAAGGCUCCGGUGCCAAGUGAGGAUUCCAGGCCAGCUCUGUGCCUGAAAUUCCCCCCAAGCUCUUCCUCACUCAGCACCUCACAUUGCGGUGUGUCAUCUCUGGGACACAGUGAGCCUCGCUGUCCCUGGGCACAGGAACCUGGGGGAUGGGAAGGCUUCUGACCCUUCACAGAGCACAGUCCAUUCUGUGUUGGUCUGUCCACCUGUCUGCAGGGUCCCUGGGCUCUGAUGACGGUAAAAGCUAGGGAAGUCU